CCCUCCCUCUCAUCUCUAAAACCCUCUCAUUUUCCGCAUCCCUCUGUCUCACGUUCCUUCCGACAAAUCCUUCGAUCUUGCCCAUCCCAUCUCCAAAUGUGUUUCCCAGACCUUUGGCAACCUCCUAUUUUCUUUCUUAAAGUUCUACCUCAACCCCUUCGUGCCCUACAUCUCCGCCAUCAACACCGACCACAUUGUGAUCAACAAGGAAACCCUGGAAAUGCUCCAUAACAUUGGAUUCAACUACAUUCCCGACUUCAUCCAGGGUGACCACUGUCGCAAGCCACUGUCGCAAGCACCACUCACAAGGGCUUUCUCCUUUUCUCUCUCGCACCGAUUGGGAUUUUGAUUUUCGUGGCUAGGGUCUGUAUUCAAGCGUUCGUGGAGGUUGAAGCAAAUCACCUUGUGGUUGAUUUCAACCAUUUCAACAAGAUUUGCGAGUCGAAGGUGAGGUGAUCGUGAGGAGAUGGAACUGAGGUUCUUGACACAGCUGAGUUGUGGAGCUGAGAGGCUGGCCAGUGUGUUGUUUGAUUGCUUUUCAUUCCUCUGGAUAUCCACUCAAAAAAGUUGAAGCAUACUCUACUUUAAGAAAUGCGAGAUUGGAAUUGAAGCGUGACAUUAUUGAAUAUGGAGAUUUACUGUGUAGUUAUGAGCGUAUUGGCUAUUGUGUGGGAACAAUGUUGUUACAAGUCUCGUGUUGGAAUCCAAGAGGAUGCCAUGAAGUGAUCCAAAGCAAAUCCUACAAUUGUUUAGUUUUAAUUAGGCUUUUUUUUUGCUCACCACCGUUUCUUUUCCUUGUUAUUUUAUUGAAUUAUUAGUGUUGGAUGUUAUUUUUACACAUAACUAGAUGUUUGAAAUCGUUUUAAUAUCAUAAAUUUUGACAUUCAUAUUUAUGAUAACAUUAAAUCUCAAGA